UACGGAGGAUCCGAGCGUUAUCCGGAUUUAUUGGGUUUAAAGGGUGCGCAGGCGGGAGAUUAAGUCGGCGGUGAAAUUUUGCAGCUCAACUGUAAAAGUGCCUUCGAAACUGGUUUCCUUGAGUGUAGAUGAAGUAGGCGGAAUUUGUGGUGUAGCGGUGAAAUGCAUAGAUAUCACGAGGAACUCCGAUUGCGCAGGCAGCUUACUAAACUACUACUGACGCUCAUGCACGAAGGCGUGGGGAUCAAACAGGAUUAGAUACCCCUGUA
rnacentral:rRNA from 1 species